rnacentral:rRNA from 1 species
ACUGAACGCUGGCGGCAGGCCUAACACAUGCAAGUCGAGCGGCAGCGGGAAAGUAGCUUGCUACUUUUGCCGGCGAGCGGCGGACGGGUGAGUAAUGCCUGGGAAAUUGCCCAGUCGAGGGGGAUAACAGUUGGAAACGACUGCUAAUACCGCAUACGCCCUACGGGGGAAAGCAGGGGAACUUCGGGCCUUGCGCGAUUGGAUAUGCCCAGGUGGGAUUAGCUAGUUGGUGAGGUAAUGGCUCACCAAGGCGACGAUCCCUAGCCGGUCUGAGAGGAUGAUCAGCCACACUGGAACUGAGACACGGUCCAGGCUCCUACGGGAGGCAGCAGUGGGGAAUAUUGCACAAUGGGGGAAACCCUGAUGCAGCCAUGUCGCGUGUGUGAAGAAGGCCUUCGGGUUGUAAAGCACUUUCAGCGAGGAGGAAAGGUUGAUGCCUAAUACGUAUCAACUGUGACGUUACUCGCAGAAGAAGCACCGGCUAACUCCGUGCCAGCCGCCGCAGUAA